UCUCGAGUACUGAGGUGACAGGCGUACACACCCAGCCAGUGGUCUGCAUCUCUAACCCUCCCAAUGAAGCAGGACUCAUUGGAUUCAAUGCAGUACUACUUGGCAAUAAAGAACAUUGAUUACACUGCUUAAUCUGUUUGUAAAAGAGUUCCGACGGGACUGGGUAUGUAGCUCACUGGUAAAGGGCUGUGGAAAACGGAGGAGACCACAGUCUCCAUCCCCAGCACUUCCACAAGUAAUGGUUUAAGUCAACAUUUGACUCCGUGUAAUUUUCAGAUCUUUGCCUUUCACAACCUCCAUAAUAGAGUUGUUACAAGUCCCUGGCAUUCAUGGUAGAUCCUGGUCUGCACUGGCUUAAGUCACUAAUCUCUCAGUUCUAAUGUUUAAGGAUGAAGAAUUUAUACAGCUGCCCCCAGUACCACCACCCCUCAUAACACCAUCAGCAACUAUUUCCAAAGAAGCAGUAAGUAAUCCACAGAGAAACCUCUCUCCCCAGGUAUCUGGAAGGGCGCUGAGGCUGCGGAAUCAGGCCCACCGCAAACACUACGGUUCUUGCUGGCAUCCAAACAGGAAGGACUCUAGCAAUCUCGUAACUGCUGCCUUUUCCCCUCAACUAUCCAAAAGUAGAGGGGAGAAGCCAGCCCCCUGGUGGAGCAACCUGAGCAUGGAAGUCUAGGAGCUAAUUACACUAUAGGCAGAGCCUUGGUUUUUAUGUGCUGAAUGCAAAUGGUUCCCACAUGUUAUGUAGUCUACACAGGUUUCUGAUGUCAGGAAAUACAAGCAGGGAAACAAUUAAAGUUUUAGAAAAAUACAUGUAAAUAGGAAAUUUCUGUGCCCACUUCUCCCAUUUGGGCCAAGUAAUUUGGGGGAGGCCAGAAAGCAUGACAGGCAAACAGGAGGAAGGUCACCCAGUGGAGGGAGUGGGUGGUUGGGGGAGAUGGACUGCAUGUGACAGGUCCACUGCGGAUGGAUAGUGGGUGAGCCUAUGGCUGGGUCGGCAUUCAGAGAGGCCCGUGCCUGUGUCUUCACCUUCAUCACCAAAGCAGUCACACAAAUCUGAUUUUGUGGCCGCUGCUGUCUGGUUGCUUUUCUUUGUGGAGGGGUGAGGGUGGAGGACGUUCACUCUGAAUGUAGUUCAGGCCUUCCUGGAUCUCAGGCCGGCUCUGCGACCUCACCAGCCUCCGGACAGGGAUUACAGUCAGGUGGGGAUCACAGGCUUGACACCCGUUGAGCCUGGCUUGUGGCCAUUAAUUUAGAAGGUCAAAGUGGAUGCCUGCAGAACUUAAGCUGCUUGUGACCAGAGCCUAAAGUCCUGUUUUAUACCCAGAUCCUCCAGGCCAAGUCUCAGGAGACCUCACAGAACAGCAAGGCUAAUUCAAAAGGAGCCUAAAGAUACCUUGAAGAUGGGCCUCACUCUCUCCAAUCACUGCCAGUCAGCAGUGGCGUCCAUGAAGGAGUUCUAGCGGAGACUGUCUGGCUUGAGAUAAAGGAUCAGCCAUUAAGUCGUUGGAGGCCUCGUGACCAUUCGUGAUCCGAGCAGUGACACCAAGUUCAGGCCACUUAGAGAAGCUUAAUUACAGCCUAUCUCUACUGUAUAAUUUCGUCAUCUUACUAAACGUUGCAUAAAGCCACUCCCACCA
rnacentral:lncRNA from 1 species